rnacentral:misc_RNA from 1 species
GCCGAUUUGGGAUGCAAAAUUGAUGACACUUAAGGAUAUAUUCUAGAGCUCUGGACAAGGGAGCAAACUCGCACAAGAUGUCUCUAGCAGCGGCAGAUAAGCUGCUCAAGAUUUUUGACGCGUUGAAAAAUUUUAGAGAAGGCAUUCCCGUGGCCGACCCAAAUCCCUUGUUGGCAAAGAAGAAAGAAACCCUUCUGUCUAAAAAAGAUAGAAUAUCAUAUCUGAACACCAUUCCAGAGCUAGUUUGCUCAUCAGGAAUAAGGAGUCUGCCUGAAUUUCCAAAGAUCCUGGCUAUCACUGUGGACUCUUUGUUAAUCAGUUGUGAUGACAAGGAGUCAGAUGUGCGUCUGGUUGCAGGUGAAUCUCUCAACAAACUUAUCAAGGGAUUAAUGGACUCUUUUAUUGGACGGAUACUGGUAGAGCUUUACAAGGAAAUAAAAAAGAAUGACUCUGCUAGAAGUCUGAGAGCUGCUUUAUCUAGAUUUGGUGACUUAUGCCAUUUGAUUAGACCUCAGAAAUGCCGGCCAUUUAUUGCAAAUUUGUUACCAUGCAUAGCUCGUGUAAGCACACGCACCGAGGAGACAAUCCAGGAAACACUGGCCAAUGCCAUGCAGAAGAUCAUGAGUGUUCUGGGAAGUUUCACAGGUGAUAAGGAAGUUAAGCAACUAUUGAAAACAUUUUUGCCAAACUUGCGAUCCUCAUCAGCAACAACCAGACGAACUGCUGCAAGUAGCCUUGUUGUUAUCUGUCAAUAUUCACGUAAACCAAGUUUCUUUUAUGAGUGGCUCCUGAACAUUUUGUUAGGUUUGGUGUUACCAUUCCAUGAAGACAAAGAUUCAACUGUCUAUCUUGGUGUACUGAUGUGCUUACGGCACAUGAUUCCAAACUUGGAUAGCUCAUCUUCAUGUGAUCAUCAAAUGAGAGGUUUACGAGGCAGCUUUGGUUCUCAACGAUCAUACUCUGGUGAUGGAACACUUGGUGUUGAACAGAUCCAGGGCAGUCAACUUUUACAGGUUUAUGAAGUGAUCAUGUACUGCACCAAGCAUUCAAAUCAUAAUGUGGUGACAGCCUCACUUGAAACGUUACUUCAGCUUCUGCGUGCCCCACCUCCUGCUCUUCUGUCAAUUCUUCUUUCCACUGAAGGAAUUACACCAAGUGCUAACUCUGAUACAACUAAACAAGAGUUGGAGUUUCUGGAGGAAGCACCUUCUGAAGAUGAACCAACAAUGAGUGAACUAGAAACAGCUUCCAUUGCUGAGAGUACGGCUAGUACUGUAGAUACUGGAGUUGGCAGCUCUAUUGCAACUGAUUUUGACACAGAGCAAACAUCAGUUGAUGAAAUGCUGAGGUCAGCAGAGCUGGAUCGCCUGCGUCUCCAUAGUGGUUCUGUUGGAGAUGAUUGUCAAACUAGAGAGGAAGCAGAAGAAGGAGGUGAUGUCUUUGAUUCCUCAAUGAGUCAACCCAAGACAGAAAAUAGAAGAACAUCCAGGUCUUUAUCGGAUCCUGGUUAUGCUGCUGAAACAGAUAACAAUGUAUCUGAUGAUGCAACUCAGCAUGAGACUCAGGUAUCACACGGAACAUUUGAUCAUGUUGCUCACCGAGACAGUGAUGGCUUGGAGUUAACUACCAUUGAGGAAGAUACCAUUAGGACGGAGUCAGUAUCAACACAGGAAGUAAGACUACUUGUCGAGAGAAGUUUUCAGAUAGAUGCAGUGACCUGCAGAGGGGUGCCCCUUGUACACUGUGUCCGUCUGAUGUGCUCAUUUCUUUUGUCUGGAAACCCUGGUGAGAUGCUGUCAGACUCUAGUGUGCGUGUGAGUGUCAAAUCAUUGGCUCUUUCUUCCAUCGCUCAAGCUGUUAAGCUUCACCCUGAAGCCUUUUUGGUAAGAAUACUACCUGAGUCAUCUGAGGAUUCAGACAGUGAAGAAUUUCAUCGAUCCAGUCCUCAGCUUGUUAGAGAUGUUCUUCUUUUCAGUGGACAUGGAGAUCCACAACUGCGGGGAAGUCUGGCCACUGUGAUUGGAAAUGUUGUAGGGACAGGACUUGAGAAAGGAAGGCUUGAUUUUGAUACUUGGUGUAUAGACAACUGUCAAGAAAUGGAGACAGUUCCAUUUGGACUUGAAGAUCUAAUCUCAGUGCUGAAGUCUAUCCUUCAAGAUGAGACUCCUGUGGCUAUAAGACAAGCAUGUGUUGCUCUUAAGAGCUGCUUCUUUUUGCUGUGCUCUAGUAAACACUCCAAGGUUGCUUUGGACCUUUUGAACACCAUUUCAACUCUAAAAGACAACUCUUAUUGGCUAGUAAAGGUUGAAUUAUUGGAAAUACUGGGAGAAGUGGACUUCAGGCUUUUGACUCUUUUAAAACAUAAAUUUGAAUACCUCCAGGAGUCAGGGAUGCACAAGUUGUUUAAAACUAAUUUGCAAGAAGAUUUAAUUAAUGAUGUUUUACUGCACUUGCUGGAGGAUGACGACAUUCGAGUGAGGCAAUCAGCUGCUAAGUGUAUUGUCAGCAUAGUUCCAAGACUCUUUCAUUCACUGAACAGUGACAAGCAAGCUUUAGUUGUAUCUGCUGCACAAAGCCAAAUCAGCAGUCUCUUCAUUCAAGAAUCUCACUACAAGGCCUACUACACCCAUUCAGUUAUUGAUGCUAACCUUUCAAGAAUUGUGACACUUAUUGGUAAAAAGCUGAAUCAUUCAACAUCAAGGACCUCUCUGCUUGGAUGUAUUCAUGUUUUGUCACUACUUGUCGAGACUUUCCCUGUUGCAAGUUAUCCUGAAGCUUAUGGGUGCAGUGUAUCAAUUUCAUGUCAAAGUCCCCUACCCACCCACCCUAUAGGACCAUUUAGUUCACCCUCCAGACCAUCAAGUCCUAGUGCUUCCUGUACAGGGGGAGGAGGGCCUUUGUCUCUUGUGAUGGGCAGUAUGAUGUCCUCGUGGCUUGCUUAUGAUCUCUUUGCACAUCAGCAGUUGUUGCAAAUUGCUGGGAAUAUCUUGUUUGGUGCUGGAUGUAGUGGAGUUCGUGUUUCACUCAAGAUGCACUCUGAGAGAAGACCCUCAGAUGAGCCUAUCAGCUCUGCCGACCACUGGAGUGUGUUCACUGAUAAUACAUUAGCUCCUCAGGCAGAAAAGCUUGUAUUCCAUCUGGCCAGGAUAUUGAACAUAUUUUCUCAUGUUGUUGACCACACUACUCCAGGUGCUCACUCCUUCAAGAUUCCAUUCCCAGGGCAGAACAAGGACAAGCAACAGUCAGGUGCCAUUCCAGGUGUGGCUGCUCCCCAGACCCCUCCUUCAGCUUUGGCUGUCUCCAAUUCUGCUUCAACUGUUCCAAAAAGACUCCUGACUAAGACCAAGCGGGCUCUCUCAGAAGCUGAUUUACACCAAGCCUCCUCAGAUAAACCACUCUCACCUUCUAAGAGCCAAGGGGGAGUGGGGCAGUCUGCAGAGUCUGAGCAAAACACUCAAACCCCCCCUCCCAAGAGCAGCAUUGGAACGUUUCAUCAUAUACCUCACUAUAUGAAGUUAUAUGACAUAAUCAAAGGGGCCUAUGCUAACAAUCAGGUUUCUCUGCUGGCCCCAGCUGAAGACAAGUUUUGUCAGUUCCUAUCAGCAACCUUAGAUUCUUUGUCUCUACUCCUUGAAGUUACUGCAUUUGCUGACAUUGGAAAGCAUGUUGAAGAGAUACUUGGUUAUUUGCAAGUUUGUGUGAAACUUGAGGCCAAAAAGACUUUAUUGUGUGUCCAGCAGCUUUUGCGUGCCAUGUUUGGUGUCAAUGCUUUAAGCCAGCCAGAACUGAUCCAGAGCUCGGCAGUUCCUCCCUGUCUAGCUACUAGUCGCGUGACAGUACCGCCACAGGUUGAGAUGGUUUGCGUGGAUGAAAGCUUUUACCACAUCUGCUUUGUGCAUCCAUUGAUGCUCGUUACGCAGUCUCUCCAGAAGUUGAAACAGAAGGAAGAAGUAAAAGAAAAAGAGAAGGAAGUGGAAGGGUUAGGAGGCAUUGGUGUUUUCAUUAAAAGGCUCCGAACUAAGGCUGCCUCGUCUAUUCGGCCACCUGUAAAACUGGACAAGCAAUCACCAAUCCAUUCGUACAUCCGCUGGUUUGAACCGCUCGUGAUCCGCGCCCUGAAGGAAUACACUUUGUCCACUAAUGUUAUCUUACAGCAGCAAGUCUUGAGUCUUCUGGCUCAGCUUAUAAGACUAAGAGUUAAUUAUUCAUUAUUGGAUUCUGAUCAGGUAUUCGUCAGCUAUAUUAAAAAACAAUUUGAAUUCAUUGAUGCAGGUCAAAUAAAAUCCUGCGACACUUUCCUUCCACACAUCUUCCAGUUUCUUGUGUUACUGUCAUAUGAGUGCUAUCAGCCAAAGUUUAAUCAAGCAAAAGCAAUUGUGGGGAUGCCAAGAAUCAUUCAGCUCUGUGAUGGUAUCAUGGCGGGAGGACAGCCAGCCCAAACUCAUGCAAUUCCAGCUUUACAACCAAUAAUCCAUGACUUGUUUGUACUGAGAACUUCUGGUGGUAGUGAAAUCGGAAAAGAUCUUGAAACCCAAAGAGAAGUUGUCGUCUCAAUGCUGCUACGUCUGGUGUAUUAUCCCGAGGUGUUAGAAAUGCUGGUGACAGUUCUGAACUGCUACCAGCGAGAUGAAGUCAAGUGGAAGGACCUCUCGGGACAAAUCAUAGACCUGCUCCUUCCUCUUCUGGCAAACCAGAAGGUCCACGUUGAAUCAGAGUAUGGUACUGAGAUGUUACAAGCUGUGUUCGCCGCCGUUGCUCCUGGGUCAUUAUGGCCAGUAGAUGUGUUAUUGAGAGUUUUGUUUUCCAGUUUUGAUCAGUCAGAUGCAUUCAAGCGCUGGUUGGCUACAACACUAGUGGUGCUACAAACUCUUAUGGCACAAGUUACGGAAGACAUACUUCUAUCGAGAAUUGACCAAUCAGGAUUUCGACCAAAGUGUGUCAACAUGAUGGACAAACCUUUGCUGCCCAUUGAGGUUUUCGUAAAUUUUCUCUUUUACGUUGUCGAAACAAGUGCCAACCAUGUUAACAUGGAAACAAGAAACUCCUUUGUAAACUUGAGAUCACCAAGCGAAGAAGCCUUCUUAAUGAAGCUGUUUGGCAGCUUGCUUUCAUGUGUGACACAUUUGUUAAAAUCAGCAAACUUCAAGAAAGUGUCCCAGUUAGCAUCCUCAUCACCCAUCAUCCAUCCAAGUGUGGACUUGAUCAAUGAAAGUUUGUCUCAUCUUGUGGACACCCACCCAGUGCUAGUUUUACAGUGGUGUCACGUGUUGAGACAACUGAAGUACAUGGACACACAGUUCUGGUUUGGGUUCUUUGACACAGGAGUACGUUUGAGCACCGCCUCUAGUAGCAAUAUUGAACUGGAGGGCCCGACGUUGAAUAAAGAUGUGACUCGAGUGGGCGUGAUACUGAUCUACUGUGAUCUGCUUAUAACACAGCACAUGGAGCAGGGAUCAUUGAAUUACUCUCAGGUCGGGACCCUGCUAAGGAUGUCCCUGGAGGACCUCGUACAGAUGACAAAUGAACCACCCAUACAGGGGGUUUUAAACAUUUUGUACAGUACCCAAGAAGGAAGCAAGCUUCUGUUAGAAACAUUUAGUUCCUCGAGGGCCCUUCAUGAAACAAUAAAGCGGCCAAGUCUUACGCGUGAUUUGUUGAACUGCAUGAAGGGAGUGCACCAGUCACAAUCUGUUUACCUUAUCAAGAUACUGGCGGAUAAUUUCCUCAACUCAACUUAUCAGUCGGUUGCGAGAAUGGCAGAACGUUUGAUUUGCAAGAAAUUGGAGAGUUGUAUCAAUGGACAGAAAGUGGUACCAUCCCAGGAGCUCUUAGAGGAUGAAUUGAGAUCUGUUUGUCAGUCAAUAGCAUCGAAGAAGGAAAUGAUCAGAAAUCAAAUGUUGCUGUCGUUGGUAACUAAAAUUCUCCCCUCGAGUCCACCUGUGGAAAGGGAUAUGCCUUGCAAUGAAGAUCUGGCUUCAUCUAUGAAAAACUACACGAUUGACCAGGAAUGGUUUUGCCGUCUUGCUCAACAAUGCUGUUUUGCUGCUCAUCCAAAGGACCAGAAGAGCGGAGCCAUUAUUGCACGUGAGGCGAUUCAGAUGCUUAGUGUUCUGAGCGCAAAGGAUGUGUCAGGAGUCAUAAAUCACGAGAACUUUGACAUCUCUCUGCUUGAAGAAUGUAUAUCACUUGGAGUAGAAAGAACUCUUCUGUUGACCUCGAGAAGGCAAAACGGAGAGGAAAUAGCAAGUGAUAUACUGAACAAUGCAGAGCACUUUGAAAACCACGACGUUGAUCAAUUAUUGCUUAUUUCCAAACUCGCUUUAUUUUCCAAAAUUGAUCAAGUUGCAAAGGAUGUUAUUAGAACGAGAACUUUCAGAGAUAAUGAAAAUUCAACCAAACUGCAGUGUUUCCACAUGACUCCUGAUCGUCUGUCAGCUCUCUGCAAUGAUGCUGAUUGGUGCAGAAAGGUCACGUCACUUGCAAGGGCUCUUGUGGUCUUAGCUGGUGCCAUUCCAACUCUUCCUAAGCAUUGCAAAAUUCCCGAAUCUGGCCAAGAAACGCUUUUUCAGUUUGUUUUUGUUCCACUCGCGAUGGUACACUGUUCCCUUGAAAAUGGUAAACGUCCAUGUUCCACAGAACUGAAGUCUAACCUGGAAUGUUUGGCCAAGUUCCUUAAUCUUGAUUGCGCUAAAAGUAUUGGGGGACUUGAGUUCUUUCCGCUGGUUUGUUCUGCUAUUAAUCACGUUCACGUGCUUUUAAAUGCAGUUGAUGGAAGUGGCGACAAGGACGAGGAGGGCUUCUUUACUGACCAAGUUAAGGUUGAUAUGGAGGAUGAAGGAGUUCAGAUUGCUAGGAAAGCUUGCGGAGAAAUCUCACAGCUGAUCCACCGACUACUGACCAUCUUAAAGCCAGGAUCAGCUCAGAAACCAUCCCUGCCUCAAUUCCUUGUGCGUCCUUUUCGGGAUACUAUUGUUGGUUUGGCGAGGCAUCCUCUGGUUAACAGCUACGCGCGUACUCUACCUUUGGUGUGGAAGAUGGGCUGGGCACCAGUCCCUGAGGGGCCGCUUAAAACAGAGCUUCCUCCUCUACCGAUUGAAAUCUUGAAAGAAAAAGAUGUACUGGAUGAGUUCGUAAAAAGGGUUAAUUUAAUUGGGUGGACCUCAAGACAACAGUUUGAGGAAACAUGGGCUGCCCUUCUCGGUGUGAUCAGUUCACCACCUCUACCAGAUACAGUAUCAACCGAGGAGGACAUGGAAUCGACGCAUUCCUGCUGUCUGGCGGUGCGCUGUAUCUCAGAACUGUUGCUUCAGACCACUCUUUAUCCAGUCCCAGGAAACCCAACAACGAGUGCUUAUCUUCACAAACCGAGGCAUAGGGAUCUGCCUUUCCUGGGAAGCCGAGCAGGGAAGAAACUUACCUUUGUCAGGGGCAUGAUUGAGGAAGAAUUUGUUUCCGUUUGCUGUACAGGAACUGGCCGAGCAUUCAUCUCUGAUGAAGACCUAAAACCAGCGCGUUCCGCAAGUGUACGUCGAUCAAACAGUUUCCUGUGUUUAAACAGUUCAAGUGCGAUGUGGUUAACGAACCGAAUGUUAUUUGAUCAUCCGCUCUACGGACUCAACAUCGAUCGCGUGCUGGGUUUCCACGACUACACUUUAGGACAGAUAUCCGUGGGCGCACUGCACAGUCAGGCUCAAAACGAACUCCAAGAAAGGUACGAUAGUGAAGACGAUUCUGCUGUUGUGGUUUCCCUUCCGCGCAUGCCUCAACCUGAAAAGCUCGACAUCAAGUCCUGCGAGCAAUUUCUUCUGGAGCUCUUUGAACAAUGGAUGUCGCCGUAUAUCCAUCCCAGGACUCCUUUGGCACUCUUAUCCGAGGCAACCAAAGCGCUUUUGGUGUUGUCUGAUCUGUUCGUUGACGGAACACACUUUGAAUGGGUUCUGGAAACUCUUUCUGAAUUACAUCACAAUCAUUCAGCAGAAGAUGAUCUGUUGAUUCAGUACUUGCUGCCUACACUCUGUAAAGCCUUAGCUUUCCUUAAGACGGAAGGGGCAACCGCUGACAGAGUUUGUAAGAUAGUGGAAUCUUCACUUAGAAGUCCACAUGUUCCCCUCCAGAAAUUCAGGUGGCCUCUAUAAGUGCCUUGCUGUUGCCAAUCCUAACUGAUUUCCUGGGAAAGAAACUUACACUGAUUAAUGGCGCUGUGUCAAUGGCAGAACACCAUUUGUUAGUC